GGUGAUAAUUGUAUCGGAACGUGCCCAGUCGUGGGGGAUAACUGCUCGAAAGAGCAGCUAAUACCGCAUACGACCUGAGGGUGAAAGCGGGGGAUCGCAAGACCUCGCGCGAUUGGAGCGGCCGAUAUCAGAUUAGGUAGUUGGUGAGGUAAAGGCUCACCAAGCCGACGAUCUGUAGCUGGUCUGAGAGGACGACCAGCCACACUGGGACUGAGACACGGCCCAGACUCCUACGGAGGCAGCAGUGGGGAAUUUUGGACAAUGGGCGCAAGCCUGAUCCAGCCAUGCCGCGUGCGGGAAGAAGGCCUUCGGGUUGUAAACCGCUUUUGUCAGGGAAGAAAAGGUUCUGGCUAAUACCUGGGACUCAUGACGGUACCUGAAGAAUAAGCACCGGCUGACUACGUGCCAGCAGCCGCGGUAAUACGUAGGGUGCAAGCGUUAAUCGGAAUUACUGGGCGUAAAGCGUGCGCAGCGGUUAUGCAAGACAAGGUGAAAUCCCCGGGCUCAACCUGGGAACUGCCUUUGUGACUGCAUGGCUAGAGUACGGUAGAGGGGGAUGGAAUUCCGCGUGUAGCACUGAAAUGCGUAGAUAUGCGGAGGGAACACCGAUGGCGAAGGCAAUCCCCUGGACCUGUACUGACGCUCAUGCACGAAAAACGUGGGGAGCAAACAGGAUUAGAUACCCUGGGAGGUCCCCGCCCCUAAACGAUGUCAACUGGGUUGUUGGGAGGGUUUCUUCUC
rnacentral:rRNA from 1 species